AUUGAACGCUGGCGGCAUGCCUUACACAUGCAAGUCGAACGGCAGCAUGAUCUAGCUUGCUAGAUUGAUGGCGAGUGGCGAACGGGUGAGUAAUACAUCGGAACGUGCCCUGUAGUGGGGGAUAACUAGUCGAAAGAUUAGCUAAUACCGCAUACGACCUGAGGGUGAAAGUGGGGGACCGCAAGGCCUCAUGCUAUAGGAGCGGCCGAUGUCUGAUUAGCUAGUUGGUGAGGUAAAGGCUCACCAAGGCGACGAUCAGUAGCUGGUCUGAGAGGACGAUCAGCCACACUGGGACUGAGACACGGCCCAGACUCCUACGGGAGGCAGCAGUGGGGAAUUUUGGACAAUGGGGGCAACCCUGAUCCAGCAAUGCCGCGUGUGUGAAGAAGGCCUUCGGGUUGUAAAGCACUUUUGUCCGGAAAGAAAUCGCACUUACUAAUAUUAGGUGUGGAUGACGGUACCGGAAGAAUAAGGACCGGCUAACUACGUGC
rnacentral:rRNA from 1 species